rnacentral:rRNA from 1 species
AGAGUUUGAUCCUGGCUCAGGACGAACGCUGGCGGCGUGCUUAACACAUGCAAGUCGAACGGAAAGGCCCGCCACCUUGGUGGUGGGUACUCGAGUGGCGAACGGGUGAGUAACACGUGGGUGAUCUGCCCCGCACUGUGGGAUAAGCCUGGGAAACUGGGUCUAAUACCACAUACGACCAUGGCGUAGGGGUCAUGGUGGAAAGCUUUAUUGCGGUGUGGGAUGAGCCCGCGGCCUAUCAGCUUGUUGGUGGGGUAAUGGCCUACCAAGGCGGCGACGGGUAGCCGGCCUGAGAGGGUGGACGGCCACAUUGGGACUGAGACACGGCCCAGACUCCUACGGGAGGCAGCAGUGGGGAAUAUUGCACAAUGGGCGCAAGCCUGAUGCAGCGACGCCGCGUGGGGGAUGACGGCCUUCGGGUUGUAAACUCCUUUCGCCCGGGACGAAGCCCACCUGGUGGGUGACGGUACCGUGGAGAAGAAGCACCGGCUAACUACGUGCCAGCAGCCGCGGUAAUACGUAGGGUGCAAGCGUUGUCCGGAUUUACUGGGCGUAAAGAGCUCGUAGGUGGUGUGUCGCGUCGUCUGUGAAAUUCCGGGGCUUAACUCCGGGCGUGCAGGCGAUACGGGCACGACUAGAGUGCUGUAGGGGUAACUGGAAUUCCUGGUGUAGCGGUGAAAUGCGCAGAUAUCAGGAGGAACACCGAUGGCGAAGGCAGGUUACUGGGCAGUUACUGACGCUGAGGAGCGAAAGCAUGGGGAGCGAACAGGAUUAGAUACCCUGGUAGUCCAUGCCGUAAACGUUGGGCACUAGGUGUGGGGGACAUUCCACGUUUUCCGCGCCGUAGCUAACGCAUUAAGUGCCCCGCCUGGGGAGUACGGCCGCA